AGAGUUUGAUCCUGGCUCAGAACGAACGCUGGCGGCGUGCCUAACACAUGCAAGUCGAGCGAGAAAGGGGCUUCGGCCCUGAGUAAAGUGGCGCACGGGUGAGUAACACGUGGGUAACCUGCCUCUGAGAUUGGGAUAACCUGUCGAAAGACGGGCUAAUACCAAAUAAGACCACGACUUCCUCGGGAGUUGAGGUCAAAGGUAGCCUCUAUUUAUAAGCUAUCGCUCGGAGAUGGGCCCGCGCACCAUUAGCUAGUUGGUGGGGUAAUGGCCUACCAAGGCAAAGAUGGUUAGCUGGUCUGAGAGGAUGAUCAGCCACACUGGAACUGAGACACGGCCCAGACUCCUACGGGAGGCAGCAGUGGGGAAUAUUGGACAAUGGGCGCAAGCCUGAUCCAGCCAUGCCGCGUGAGUGAAGAAGGCCCUAGGGUUGUAAAGCUCUUUCAGCGGGGACGAUAAUGACGGUACCCGCAGAAGAAGCCCCGGCUAACUUCGUGCCAGCAGCCGCGGUAAUACGAAGGGGGCUAGCGUUGUUCGGAAUUACUGGGCGUAAAGCGCGCGUAGGCGGAUAUUUAAGUCAGGGGUGAAAUCCCAGGGCUCAACCCUGGAACUGCCUUUGAUACUGGAUGUCUGGAGUUCGGGAGAGGUGAGUGGAAUUCCGAGUGUAGAGGUGAAAUUCGUAGAUAUUCGGAGGAACACCAGAAGCGAAGGCGGCCAUCUGGCCCGGCACUGACGCUGAGGCGCGAAAGCGUGGGGAGCGAACAGGAUUAGAUACCCCCGUAGUCC
rnacentral:rRNA from 2 species